CGUGGUCAGAGAGUCAGGGUGAAAUGGAAUCCUGAGACUUCGGGGGAGCCACAGCGUUAAAGAGAGAGAAGUGUUCAUGAAGGAAUAAUAAAGAAGCAACAUUCCUCUAGAAAAUGCUCUACUCCUCUGAGAAAAGGUGAAGGCUCCAAAAAGUACAAGUGGAACAAAAUGAAUAAAGCAGAAGCGCCUCUCCUUAGCCCUCUCUGAAGAGGUGGUAAAUGCCUAUCAGCCUGAGCCAUUGGGUGACCAUGUAGAUCAGACCAUCACUGGACAACUGGGGAGAGUACUUGUCAAACCAUCAGUGGACAUGUAGGGGAGAGAAUGCCAAGUGAUAUUACAGAAGCAGAGACUGAAGUGCUGCAGCUGCACGCAAAGGAAUGCUGAGAAUUGCCAGGAAAUCACCAGAAGAAAGAUUGCCAAGUCUCUCUUCUAUAACCAAGACAGACGUCACUAAUCAAGCUUGGCACAAUUGCUGAGGGUGCCCAUCGCCGAGAAUCAUCUUUAUUAAACCAGGU